AAAGGUACCAAGAUCUCAUUUAGAAAUCCUCACUAUUUUCAUGUGAUUUGAGAAAGGAUUGUAUUUAAAUGGCGUUUUGGCAUUUGGAGGGAAACAGACACGCCCUGUCGGGUGAAAUCUCAGGGAUGAUCAGUGAACAAAAACACUGUCACCAAGUUCAGAGAAGCCAAGUGAUUUUUCCAAGGUAACACAGCUAGAACAUGGGGGAGCUGGGACUGACAAUCUUCAAACGCUAAUGCAAAAGGCUCUUUCAAACACACCAUGGUUGGCUCUUACCUGGCACGUCAUAGUAAUAGUCCAUUGACUUUGGUUAAAAGAGAGUUGACUACCAAACUCAUUACACUUGUGAGUAAACUUCUCGUUCUUAUGGUUAGAAUUAAUUCUUCGGAGGGAGGGGAGUUAUUGAGCCAGUGAGGAACAAAAGAUGACUGAGUAAGCAAGGUCAGCUCUCUGCCUACUUUGGAAGAACUUGGGGUCUGGCACUGCGACCCACAGAGUCUAAGCAGGCAAAGGGUAGGGAAUAAAAAGUGGAUCCCAUGAGUCCAAAGUGACUCUGCUCUAUGGUGAAGGAGUCUUUGAGCUGCGGAGCCUUCGAGUGCUUGUGAGGUGUAGGAAGCAUCAGACACACGAGCGGGCCUGGCAACUCUAAACAUGUCAGAUUGCUUACGCCAACCAUCUCCUUCCAGAUGGCACUUAGAAAGGGUUGCAUCAAUUACUUCUGAUCACUGAUUUGACCAAAAAACAGGAGUUAUUUAUAUAAGAUAGAAAAGAACAUUUUUAUUGACAUAAAUCUUCAUUAUUGCAGGUUUUUGUUUUUUAAGUCCUGUGAAAUCCAAAGGACAAAGUGUGUCUAUUUAUUCUCAAGGAUUCCAAGCCUCACUAAAGGAUGAACUGGAAGGCCACAGCUUCCAAACCCUCUGAGGAGGUGUGGUUGGCAUUGUGGAGAUGGCCAGUAUUUCUGGUUCUCUCCUCCUGCAGGGACAUGAAAAGAUCGCACUUCUCCAUCCCCCUGAAGGGUUUGAGCAACCCACCAGGGCAGCAGUACUCUGCCACCAGGGCAUCCAGCAUCAUGGAGCCUCAGAGAACACUGCUGCUCCUUCUUUUGCAUGGAGAAAGGGGCAAAAGUAUGAAUUUAAAUCGACUGACAAGAGAAGGAAAGAUCAGCAGCAACUCCUCUGGCACAGUCAGUCAGAGCAUCUCCAUGUAGUCAAACGAUAAGCACUGCAUCUUCACAUUUGCUAUUGUGAUCACUGUUGAACCACAAAGACAAGGAUGGAUGAGGAUAAAGAUACGCUUCUCUGCACAACAUACAGAAGGAAUGGUCCUGGAUUAAAUCAGGGUUCUUAACCUCAAUAAUAAGGAAAAGCACAUGGAUCUCUGCUGACUGAGAUCAGAACCUUAGCAAGCCUCUUCUCUCAAUAAAACACAGAGAACAAGGAAAGAAAUUGAUAUUUAACGAAUACUUACUAUUUGCCUGGCCCUCUGUUAGGUGCUUAAUAUUAUCUUUUUAUCUUUAUAUCAUUAUGGCAAGUUUGGUAUUAUUAUUCUCAAUAAAUCCUAAAAAACAUUCCAGAGGCUGAAAGAAGGUAAAGAACUUGUCCAAGGUCCCCCAACUAGUAAGUGAAAGAACUGAGCUUUGAGCCCAAGUCUGUCUGAUGCCAUUGCUGUCACUACAUCCCUUAGUCUUUCAUGCUGAAAAUGUACAAAGAGGGGUCAUGAAGGUGAGAGACCCUCCCCCGGGAUCAUAGUUUACAAAGUCAACAAGUCAUACUUAUCUCUCCUAUAAACCUGACACAGGAGCAAAUGGAUUCUAACCCCUUAGAUGAUCUAAAUACAUUUGUGAUUUUCAUUAAAGCAAAAUAGCAAUUAUGUACUUGAAAUAUUUAUAAAAUAAGUCAACUACAUUUGAGGGAAAAUGUAAAAGCAUUGCAAUUAAACAGAUCUGCACACACUGCAGGGUGUUUUUCUAACAAAAGGAGUAAGGAAUAAUGCUGCUAAUAAAAACAAUGAUGAUCUUGUUUAAAUGUUCUAAUAACUCAUUCAGCACUGUUCUGAGUGGAACUGUAUAUUAGUAAUUUCAAAUAAAGUCUUUGAUGAAAGAUUAAAUAUAUCUUCUGCUCAUUCUCCUCUGCAAAGCUAGUGAUUCAAGUGGCUAAUUUGUUCCCUUUCUUCUGGUAAAAUGUUUUAAGUAAUCUAUAAAUGUUUUUCUCCUUCUAUUCAUAUUGUAAGAGGAACCAAGUGAAUAAUAAUGACUAAAAAUAGUGAGUUAUACUGAUGCAUUGGAACAUAAUUGGUGCUCCC
rnacentral:lncRNA from 1 species